AUGAACAGAGUCGAGUGCAGAGGGAAUGAGAUUUACCUGUGGGACUGUCCUCUCUCCCUCAAAAACCACACUGACUGCUCCAACAAAGAGCACGCUGGACUCACCUGUGCAGAUUUGCCAGAUUUAUCAGUGUCCACUUCUCCUGCCACAACAACAUCAGCUUCUCCUCCAGUUUCUCCUCCAGUUUCUCCUCCACUGCGCUCAACAUCAGUCUCUCCUCCACAAACUCUCUCCGUCCCCCCAGUGCUUGUGAUUGUUCUGGGAGCUGUGCACUUACUGCUCUUAGUGCCACUGCUUAUACUGAUUCAGCAGAACAGAGUGAUGAGGAGAGGUAGGAGAGAUCCAGAGACUGUCAUAUUGUGUCUUAUUCAGUGUGUGAUCAGUCAUGUGUUGUGAACUGACAGCAGGUUUGUCUGUCUACACUCACAGCUCUCUCUAAGAGGAGAAACAAGAUGAAGACUGAGGCCGUUUAUGAGGAGAUUCAGCACAGAUCCACUAACAGACACAGUCUCUUCACUCAGAGGGGUGAGUAACUGUUAUAGUAUUAGAUUUGUAGUCAUCAACAGGAUAAUCACUUUACAGAGGGAUGAGUGGAAUAAAUCACAAUAAUUUAUUUGUGGGACCUUGAGUAUUAUUUGAUUAUAAUAUUAGUGUUGAGUGAUUCAAAGGAAGUGGAGGUUUGGCAGAUUUGUGAUUGUGAACAUCUGUCUGAUGGUCCUACUCCAUAACAGGAAGUGUCUUUUCUGGAGAACAGCAUUCUGGGUAUGAAGAUGCUGAUGAGCUUCUUUCAGGUUGGAGGACUUAAAUAUAUUAAUGUCACCUGCUACUAAACCCUAUGUACUGCAUAUUGUGUGAUGCAUAUAUAAUUAAAAAAUUAGUUACCUUAUUUACACCAUUCAACACAUAAUUUAGUUAUGGUUUUUAUUUAUUUAUUUAUUCAUUCAUUCACUUCUAUAUUUUUUAUUAAAGCAGAAAGAACCAAACCUGAAUACCAUAAUGAUUUCUCCAGCAUUGAAGCCCCAACAGGUGAGUGACUUCAGCUGAUGGGUUUCACUUCUUUAACCUUCUUUGCCUGUGAACAGUAAACCUGUUUCUGAUUAUAGACUUUAGUCAAGGUAGACAGCACAUUGUAUGCAGAUGAAAAUGAGGAUUGUGAGGGACAGACUUACAGUCUUAACAGUGGCAUGUACUGAACAAAGGUUCUAGAUCACAUCAUUUUCACAAAGUUUGUGAUUACUGAAAGUUUUUGGAAAGAUGUGUUGUCAGUUGAACAAUUAGUAUGUUAAUCAACAACAGUACGAUCCAUUGAACCCUCUGUACUUCUGUCCCAUCUUUCCCUUCUGCCCUGACUAAUGUCUGUUCUCUCUUUGUUUUUAACUCAUUUAGAAAAGCAACAAAUCACAUCAGAGAACUAUGAUGAUGUCAUCACUGCUGGACUGAGACAUGCUACAGGUUCUAGAUAUAGAUAUAGAUAUAUAGAUAUCAAAAAUGUUGUUCAUUUGAUGGAUGCAUUUAAUUUUUCAUUAUUUUGUUGUAGAUGACUUGCCCGAAAACUAUGAUGAUGUCAUCAUCAUACGACAGUUCUCCAAUGAUAACAAAGGUGUCGGAUUCAAUUUACACCCUUCUAGAUUAGAACUGUUUUUUUUUUCUUCAAAUUAUUGUGCCAAAUAAAGUAUGUAGUCCAGUGGUGUCCAAACCUGCUCCUGGAGGGUCAGUGUCCUGCAGAGUUUAGCUCCAUCUCGUCCCAACACCCCUGUCUGGAAGUCUCUAGUGACUCUGAAGACCUUGAUCAGCUGGUUCAGGUGUGUUUAAUUGGGCUCAGAACUAAACUCUGCAGGACUGUGGCCCUCCAGGAGCAGGAUUGGUCACCCCUGAUAUAUGUCUGUUUGUUCAUUUAAUUAAUAAUCACCACAUUUAUUAUCAGAGGGUGUUCAGGAGGAGUAUGAUGAUGUGAAGAAUGUCAGCGAAUAUAUGAGUGACAUGUUUGGUACGUUAUUAACACCUUCAUUUAGUCUUUAUAAUCACUUUAUCAAUUCGUGUGGUUAUAAAAGCUCAUUUAAAUUUACUGUUAGUUUUAGUGUUGUAGGGUUUUUUAUCAUGCAUUUUAAUAUAUGUAUCGAUACAUGAAUCGUUCUCUUGUUUUCCAAUAACAGACUAUGAUGAUGUGGAGGAGGAUCCAGGAAAACAGACAGGAGCUGUUUAACUCAAACCUCACACACUGCCUCAAAUCCUUUUAAAGCUUUUAAGAUUUUAGCAAUCUUACUAUAUGUGUUUCAGUUGCAGUCUAAACAGUGUUUUGAUACAUCCUGUACUGAAAUAUACAAUUACAAUUUUCGACAGAAAAAAAUGCUUUGCUUUCAUGACUUUUUAAAAAGGUGCUUGACUUUUUCCAAACACUUUUACAAAUCUUUUCUAUUGUGUAGCCUUAGAAAUUUGAGAGAACAAAAACCUGUCAUUUUCUGACAUUCAGUAACUUUGUAUAAACAUAAUUGUGUUGAGAAUGUGUUCAUCAUUCAGCUACCACCCAUCAUUAAUGGAUUACAAUAUCUUCAACUUAAUAAUAUCAUAAUAUGAAAUAUCACAAUAUCAUUCACUGAUGGUUCACUGUUAAUAUUUUGUUAAAGGACAUUAGAAUGUUACGGGGACCGAGAGCUUAAUGUGCUGCAACUUCAGAAAACACAUGCAAAUAGAAAAAGCACCAGCAAAUAAAGAAAACAUCUUCAUCAGUCUGAGAUCACAUGUGCUGAAAAUACUCACAACACAACCAAAUAAAGAAACAGACCACAAGAAAAUUACUUUAACUAAACGAAAAUGUACUUUUUCUUUUUUAAACAUUUUUU
ensembl:lncRNA